rnacentral:rRNA from 1 species
GACGAACCGUGCGAACGUUAUUCGGAAUCACUGGGCUUAAAGCGCGUGUAUGGACGGGAUGAGCACGUCUGUCGCUGAAAUCCCCCGGCUCAACCGGGGAACGGGGCGUGGAUACGGCUUGUCUGGAGGGGCGUAGGGGGACCUGGAACUUCCGGUGGAGCGGUGAAAUGCGUGAGAUCGGAAGGAACGCCCGUGGCGAAAGCGAGGUCCUGGACGCCUACUGACGCUGAGACGGCGAAAGCCAGGGGAGCGAACGGG